rnacentral:snRNA from 1 species
GUGCUCACUUCGGCAGCACAUAUACUAAAAUUGGAACGAUACAGAGAAGAUUAGCAUGGCCCCUGCACAAGGAUGACACGCAGAUUCGUGAAGUGUUCCAUAUU